GCGGGUUUGGAGAGUUCGGACCGCCGCGAGGUUACAAAAACCCCGUGCCAUCGCCGUUUGCUGGCAAGUCGCAAAGUGGAACGCAAAGGCGAACGAGCUCAGUAACUCAAAACUGAACGCGGUGCUAAAAUCCAACAAAAAAAAAACCAAAAAAUAUACUAAAAGACUUACACAAAAAAAAAACCCUAACUCACACACCUGAGGGCGACAGCACUGGCACUUACCUGUCGUGUUGGCGAUCCGAUCAGUGCACCAUCAGCCAGCGGAGCGAACACACCAGACACCAAGCUACUAGCUACCAGCUAGCAGUCAGCACCAGCGCCCUGGACCUCUCUCUCCGGGCGCUAUCAACCUGAGUGUUAGAUAAACUGAUAAUACGACUGAAGCAAACAGCGGAAACAAACGUGGCGUUAACUGCUAUAUAUUAAAAACAAAAAAACCCUAUAUAUAUAUCACACACAUUCGCAUAACAACCGAAAGACAAUAACCGAAGUAAAACAAAAACGAGUCAGCGGCAAAGUGUCAAUAAAACUCUCGAAUUCAUUAACACAACUCAAAACGUUCUAUUAGUAAGCACUUGCAAAUUUCACUAAAAAAGCAUAUAUAUAUCUGUAUAAUAUAUGGAGGAAAUAGCUGGCGAGAGAGACGGCAACAGAGCGACAGAGAGAGAGAGAGGAUGCUAGACACAAAUUAGCGUGGCCAGCAGUCAAAAGGUCUAAUAGAAGCGCGUGUAUGCCAGUGUACUAGCCCCAUAAGUACACCCCGACGAGACCCAGAGCCAUGAUCGUAAAAACUACAUCAAAAAAAUGUAAAAAAUAGCCAGACGGGGGACUGCUGCUGUCAUGUCCUUGGCCUGUAAAAGGGCAGGUGAGUUCAACAUUAACGAAAAAAUUUUUUAUUGUACAUCUAGGCGUAUUAUAUUUUGUCUGUGGUUUUUUUUUUACGAUUAUUGGGUGCAUCAUCAUUAAUCACAGCCUCUAGAGAGCCCUGGGCUGGAAAACCUAAUGGAUCUCCAGUCCAGCAGGCGAAGAAAAUCUAUUGAAAUCGACUGUUGGUCGGGAAAAAUUGAAAACUAAUUGAUCGGGCCACAGUGGAUUUCAUUCAUUGGGCUGAUUGGUCUUUGAAAGGCAACUCUUGAUUGGAGGGAUUAGGAGUAGAUGGUCUGGAAAUUUUCCAUAAAUACUAUAAUGUUUGAGCUUUAUUAUGGCUUGGGAUGUCCAAAAAUAAAGAAUGUAUCUAUAGAAUCCAUCACAGACUCCCAUCUACGGCAGCGGAGCGUUGCUUUCUUCUCACAAUCAGACCAUAGCUAACCGCUGGUAAUUUUCUGGCCAUAAUUCCAGCUGUCAAAGCUGGGAUCCCUCGCUUUUGUGCCCAAUCAUUUCACAUAAUUUGUAGCAUGGCAGUCGAAUGGCAGGGAAAACAUUUAGCGGCGCUUUAAACAAGUCAAUAAACGAUUAAAAUAAUGAUUUUUCAAAAGCCCCAAAGCGAAGUCAAGAUACCACGAACCACCAAACAAAAUAGAAAAAGAUCCAAAAUCGAAUGGCCCCACACAAACACAAAAGGUAACACGGCCCACAAAAAUAUAAUACAAAAGCACUCACAGUCUCUAAAGAAAAAGGUACGAAAAUGCUUAUUGCCAGCAACAAAAAAUGAUAUAAUAAAAGGCAGCCUCGGUAGGCAGUAAGCUCAGUGCUCAGAGUGUUGCUUAUAAUUGCGAGCCGAGUUCAGGCCAUCGGGAGUGACAUCAUUUUCGGGCAACUUUUAUUUUGUUUCAUAUUAUUUCGAGUGUCUGCGCGACCGGGUUUUUUUGCUUUUUUUUUCCUCCUCUGUUUUGGGCCAGAAAUAUUGCCAAACAAGUUGUUGGGUUGUACGGCGGGAGUGAGUAUAUUUCCGAGAGCUUUAAUUGCUAUGACUUUAUUAGGUUAUCAGAGCCACUGAGCCACCAAGCCAAAGACCAUCUCGAUGCCUUACGCCUGAGUUAUGUCUCAUUAGCCACACGUGUGAGCCGCGUCCGGAUCGAAGAUGAGAGCUGGAGCUGGCAGUGAAAGAACCCACGACCGCGACUGCUCCUCCAUCUCGUUCUCCAGCCAUCUUCUGUCCGGGUUGCACGCUCUCCAUCCCGCUCCACCACGCAUACAGUUGCAAUAUCAAUUACAGCAUGCCACAGGAGCAGUAGGCAGUGAACAGUAACUGGUUUCGGUUAGGGUGUAUAUCGAUAGGGUAUAUCGGCUUUAUUGGUUUUCCAUAAAAAGAAAUAUUUCAGAGAAAAGAUACUUAGUCUUCUAGAAGCCUAGAACAAGAUACUUUUGUAUCUGAGAAGUCAGUUGCCAGAGAAAGGGCACUUGGCAAGUCGUCAGGACUGCACUUCGAUGCCGACAGUUGGCUGCUGUUACCUUUUCUUGGGACACCUUCUGCUCCUUGUGCUCAAAGGUUUCAUGUUGCAUUCGGUCGCCUUGACUGCAUCCUCUCAGAAAAUGACCCAGAGCUAUCGCCACCACUACCAGUGUCCGUACCAUUGCCAUAAAGUUGCAGCAGGAAACCGGCAACGGCAACGGCAAUGGCAAUGGCAGCGGGAGCAGGAGCGGCAACAAUUUGCAAACUCAUGAUGCAGCCCUAAAAGGCCGCCUCAUCCGCUCGGGUUCGGGCAAAUAAAAAGUGCGUGAUUUGUGUGAUGUGCCAAGCCACCAGAGAGGCCAGGCCAACCGAGACAGGAAGACAGGAGAAAGAGAGAAAGAGUCUCUCAAGUCCCUGGCAAUCCAUCAGGGCAGUCAGGGCCGACAGUUUGCCGGAGGUCUGUUGACCCCUAAGUGCUCUUCUCCUGCGCUCUCCCAGCAAACCUUGCAACCUUGCAACAUGGCCGGCAUGGCUGGCAUGGCAGGCAUGGCACGGCAUGGCAACCUGGUAACAGCAGUUGCGCAUGUCUAAUUGCAGUCAAGUCGGUAGUGAGAGAUAGUGAGAGGCUCUCAGGGUUCACGGCCCGGUAUCCGUGAGAAUUUGCCACCUGUCAGGCCGCGAUAAUUGCCAGCGGGUCAGAGCCAAGCAGCAACUACGGCGGCAGCCCCAUCAACAGGUAACUUGAAGACCUCAACAGCACUUGGUCUUGAGCCGUCUUGAGCACACAACUCCGACAUAGACUCUACUUGUGGCCUCUCAGGUGGUAGAAACAGAACAUUCCCAGCUUAGUCCAAGUUUUCUGGUUUGAAAAACACUUUUUUAAAACCAUAUGAUUACACAACCCCCCCACAGACAGCUGACAAAUGGUAGUUUUGUGUGAAAAGAUUCGAGUUUUGAUUUGAUUGCCUCAUUAUUUUCAGGCUAAUCGCAGAACUGUUUUUGGGAAGUGAACAAAACCAGAAUAGUGUCUGGCUGUGGCUCUGUCUGUGGCAGUGACUCUGUGGCUUCCGCUUAAAUCUCUCCCCAGCCAUUUGAUGAAAAAAGAGCCAAGAGUUCCCAACAGCAGCUACAACAUUUUUAUUAGGCUGACUGGCCAAAGGUUUCCCAUUCAAGUGGCUUGUCACUUGUUCUGUUUCUGUUGCUGUUUCUGUUUCUGUUGUGCUGGGCACUUCUAAAAAAGUUGUUGGGUUUCCUGGAAUGGCCCCAGAUCGCAGACCCUGUCUCUCCGGCCCUGUCUCAGUCUUAUUUUAUUUUAUGUUAUGUUUUUUUUUGUGUAUGUGUUUCCUUUUUUUUUUAUAUUCGAGUAUAUAUUUUUUAUAUGUUUGUUUGUGCUGACGGUAGCUGACCUUUUUGUUGCUGCGGCUGGGGCUGGGGCUGAGGCUGCUGCGGUUGCCACAGCGAUGUUGCUGCUGCUUUUCGGGAGAAGUUGUAAAAUGUUGUUCAAAGCGCCGCAGAAACCGUUGGCGUUAAUGAUCGCCGCUGGGCAUGCGACGAGGACGAGGAUCAUGUUGAGGAUGCGGUGGCAAGCGUUUCCUAAUAGCUCAGGCCAGGCCAUGCCAGGCCAAGGAACGAAGGAGUCUGGCGCCCAGACCCGACCCUCCUCAACCAGCCAUCGCAAUGUUGAACGUUUUGGGCUACUGGUUGCGUUUUCACGCAACAAAUGGCAACAUUUAAAAGUCCAUUUCGCCUGCUCAUCUCCUUGCGAUUCGGCGGGGCUCACCUUCAGCCCGGCUCAUCUUCAUCCGCGCCCCUCCGACUGCGACGUUAAGCACAGGUGCACAGCGGGCAGCAGUCACAACACAGCUCUGGCUCAUAUAUCUUGGCUCUGAAUGGGGAUAGUUGGGGAGCUGGAGAUGGAGCUGGAGCUGGAGGAGUUUUUGGGCGAGAGGCCAAAGCUGGCUCAAUUGAUGCUGACAGCAAAUGAAAGGCUCUGGCUGAGAGACUGCAACUGAGACCUCGGCUUGAAUAGCAAAUCCCAGGUACAGUGGUGACAGGACAUGACAAGAUCCCAGGCGAAAUGAACACGGAAAGAUGGUUGCUUUUUAAUUGGAGAUUAAAGAGAAUUAUCUAUCUCUAUCCGGACCUUAAGGCCAACUUGACAAAGAAAGUGAGAUAUAUUUCAUAGAUAGAGAUACAAUCUCCGGCAACUGGAUAAGCCAGUUAGUCUUAAUUAAAUAUGCAUCAUCUCCAUGGACAAAGAACUUCUAAUUAACUCUCCUCGAAGAUCGACCUGGGGUGGCUAAAUAUCUCAAUUUUCUUGGCUCUGAAGGAGCUCAUAAAAUGUGGCUUUAUGGCGUUAGAAAUGAACUUUUUAAUAAACUCGACUUGUUGGCAAGUACUUCAAUGAUUUUAUGAGCCUCACACGGGACACUGUUCCUGGCUUAGCCUUUCUGGCCAUGGGCUUAUGGUAGUACUUCCUCGCCAGAUGGGUAAACCAGUUUUUUGGCUGCCCAUUCGAAUCGAAUCGAGCAGAGUAACCACAAACGGAGACGAAGUCGAAGGCUCCGACUCAGACUCCCCACAAGAUCAAUUCUAGCAGAUUUCACUUUUUCCCUGGCCGGGCUCAAAGUUGGGAUGUCAGUUUUUUUAGCCUCCUUUUUUUUUGUAAGUUUAGGUGCAGCCCGAACGGUUGCAACUGUUGCUUGUGUUGCCUGUGUUGCUGGCUUGUGUUGCUGGCUGCUGGCUGUUGGCUGGUCGUGUGUGUUGCCUGGCUUGUCGUCGUUUUGUUGUUGCCAGCCUCCUCGGAUUCCUGGAUCGCUGUGGCACAUUGCAUUUUUAUCUCAAUGAGUCGGGCAAACAUGCUGUUGUUGGCUGGUUGCAUGCCACAAAUGUGCGAUUGGCAUGUCAAAAGAAUUAUGUAUUGAUUUUUGAUUUCUCCCUAAAAGCGGAAGUUUCUUCUAAGCCAUGUGGUUCGCUUGGCUCACUGUACAUGAGCCCGCCCCGUACAUGAAAACUUAUUAAAAUGAAACAAAUUAAAUGGCCGGGCUUAGUGCCAGCAGCUCAUUGAACAUCUAUUGAGCGGCUAUUGGGCAUCGAGGCUGGAAACUGGUUUCAUUCUCCAAGUGGGCGCCGCUUGGCCGCAAAAUGAAUGACACUAAACGCUCUUGACAGCAAACAUUUGUCCGCCGCCGAGGCAGUUAAUUAGUUUUGCACGAAAUUAUGUUAGUUAAUUGAUUAACUAUCGAAUAUUAAAGAGCUCUCCGCUGCUAGCUGUUGGCUCUUCGCUCUGAGCAGGAGGUGCAGGUUCAGGCCAAGAUCGAUCUGGUCGGAUAGCAUGGCUCGGCCCUGCCUUAAAAAUUCGAAAACAUAAAUUGCUGUCUUCUCUUUCGCUGGUCCGUGUCCCGAGGAGUUGUGAUCUCGGAGGCUGCUGCACCCACGCAGCCGAAUCGAAGACCAAAAACUGAAAACCGCACAAUCCAGGCUGGCCUUCUCUAAAUAUGGACAUGGGCGGCCAGAAAGUACGAGGGGCCGAACAUCGUGGAGGAGUAACCACGCAGACCAGUUCGGAGUCAGUGAUCUGGGCUGAGCAGAAGCUGAACUUGGCUCUUUCGUGGCUUAAAUAGUGUUGGGUAGAAAGAGUUGGCCGAGAAAUUGGUUACUAAUGAUAGAGAAGGAAGCCCUACUCGGAAUGUGGUGUACUCUGAUUUGGGUCUAGAAUUUUUAAAGAGAAAACAAGCUAAAGAUAAAGAUAGUUAGUGAACUUAAGAAAUAUAAUUAGAUGGUUAAUAAAAAACCAAUAACUCAGCAAAUAACUCAGCUAUAACUUGAAUAAAAGAUUGAAAACCCUCAAGUCUGGACUGAAACAAAGCCUCUGAAGUACAAAAAGAGAAUGUUCGAGUCUCGACUGGGACUAAAGUGACGAUGGAGAGAUCAAGAGAAUGGCCAGAUCCAAUAGAUAAAAUAGCCUUAAACUAUGAAAGUCAUCAAUGCCCGCAAAUGCCUUGCGAUUAGUCCGCCGAUACGACUAGAACUCUGGUGAGUGGCAAGUUCCGUUUCCAUCCAAUAUUCUAGUAAAGAAAAAGAUCGUGCCGACCACGUAAUACUAAAAGAAUCGUUCUUUGUUUCGGGUCAUAUGAAUAUAUACUAUUUAUAUAUCCCGCCAUAAGCUGCUCAUCAGCUUUGUUGGUGAGUUGCUAAUGAAGAUCGGAAUGGGCCAGAAUUGGGAUGACUGUUUGUGUGCGUUGGUAAUUAAUAAAAAUUUCAACAAAAUCCGACACGACACACUCGGCUCACAACACGGCAUAGUGGUAUACAGGAAAAUGGCAUUGUGUGGGGAUGAUGGGUACGAGAAUACCAAAAAAUUAGAGCCAGCCAGACAAUGGUCUCGGCCGGGCCAACGCAUUGAAAAUUGUGCGCAUUGUUCGGAUGACUAUACGGCCCAGUCGAUCGAGGCGAUCUCACUGUCAACUACUUGAAACCAGAAUGGCUAAAAGCGAAGAAAAAAAAUUAUAAAAUAAACCACAUAACAGAUGGGGGGAAAAAAACAACACAAAAAUCACAUACACGACUUUUUCGUAACAGUCACGUUUUUUAUUCCAUUUUAUUUACUUUGCUGACAAAACAAGAAAAGUACUGGCCAAAAACGAACAAAAUACGAAAAUCGGGCUCAGCUCGCGCCCAAAGUUGACGCAUCGUGCCAGCAAACAAAUCAUAAAUAUCAGAAGAAAAAAUCCAUAAAAAGUGGUAGCUAUGAGAAGGCAUAAAAUCAGAAAUCCAACAAAUCAGAUUUAAAGAAAAAAUAGUAAAAAAAAAAUUAUGGUUAGAAUGGCUGGGAGGAGGAGUUGUAGGAAAUGGCUGAUAUUUUUGGGGAGGGAUUAUGAUGUUGAAGUCGAUUUAAUGACAGCUUCAGGUUAGUUUGCAGGCCAUUCCUGCAAUUAGUUUUCUUCAUGUCGUAGAUUCCGUGGCCGUGUCUCUAUCUCAGUCCCUGUCCCUGGUGGCGUAUACGCAAUCCGCUCAUAUAUCAUUCCCACUAGUUGUUACUGCUGUUGUAUGUGUGAAUGAUGAGUGUUGAGUUGCAGGUAAUAAUUGCUACUGGUCGUCAACGGGCUUGUCGUGAGCUCAGCGCAAACAUAUAAUUAAGAUUGAGCACCGGCUCAAGAUGAAGUCUCCAAAAAGGUCACUCUCUCCGCGUCCGCGUCCGCGUCCCUGUCUCUUUAUCCGUUCGCUCUUAAAAGGCCAUAUAUUUUAGCCAAAAAAAAAAAAUAAACUGCAUAGCUUGGCACAAUUAUGAAAUAUUUUUGCAAAAUUCAGAAAAAAAAACAGCAACCUCCAAACCGGUUUGGGCAGCGUAAUGAAGGAUAAUGAUGAUGAUGAUGACGAUGCGGGGCCCAGGCUGCAAGCUCCCAGCUCCAAGCAUCCCAUCUCGCAGCCGCAAUCUUCGAGCCUUAAACCUGGUCUAGAAGUGGAGAAAAGAUUUAUGCCUGUGCGGCCGUGGCAAGGAGCCUGCCGUGGCAGCGAAAAGAUGAAGAUGCCACUUGCCACUUGCAACGAGCGAGCAGAGCUCGCCCGCAGGCCGCUUUAUUUGUCAAGAUUAAUUACAAAAAUUUGCGUUAAAUCAUAAUUUUUAAUGUUUUAUGAGCCAGCCGCCCGCCUAGAAUGGCGUUUGGAAAACUAAAAAAAAAACUAAAAAAAUGGGAGAAACACCUUUCAUUGAUUUACGAGUCAUUGUUGGGGAGAGCGGAGUACUAGCCAAGUUGUUGACAAGCCCAUGCUGGGAAUGCCUUUGGCAUUUUGCCUGGGAAUGACAUUUAUCCGAGUCCGGGGCUUGAUAAGAUUCGUUGGCCACUUGGGCUCAUGAAUCAGCAUGGAAUUUCGGUGGGUUAGCGAAAUUCCUGGCACUCCAUAACAACAUCAUCAAAGGCUGCAGCGCGAUUCCCAGGAGUCCUUUCAGCGAAACCGCCGCUAACUGAACGAUGUAAGAAUUACAGAAGUACCUGAAGAAGCAACCCCCUUCUGAAAACCUGAUGCUGUUUAUGGUUUUAAUUAAACGGGGGCAACAUUGGUGCGGCUCAUUAGCGGCAAUUUGUUGGGCAUGCUGCCGUCAAAUCGAAUCGGUAGCUCUUUUCACAGAAGCCACACGGUCCCCAGAUAACCCGUCAACCAAUCCCCAAUACCCAGUACCCAAUUCUGGAUAAGCUGACACCCAGGCUCGCCUUCGAGCUCCAGUUCCCGCCACAAAAACCUGCUAAUUAUGCAUGUGUGCUGUGACGGUUGUGUCCGCGUGUCCGCAUGUCCACAUGUCCGCGUGUCGGCGGGGUUUCUUCCACCAGAAUGGUGGCCUCACUCUGUUUUUUUUACCUUAUCUAUCAAAGCGUUGCGGGGCAUAAAAUUCAGAUUGACGCUCCGGCCAGUGAAAGCGUGUGAACUGAGCUUGAAACGUGGCAGAGACCUAGCCAGAGAUAUAGAUAUGUAGACCAGCAAACAGAACGGCUAUAUAAAUUAAACCAAAACCGCAAAUAAACAUGAGGUUUUCAAAUAGAGCGAGUAGGGAAAAAAACACUAAAGAUAAGGUGCAACAAAUACGAGGGAUUGUGGAGGGAAUAUGCAUGAAAUGUAAUUUAUUUAAACCGAUUUUGUGUACAAAUUGGUGUUUUAUUUUAUAAUACAUAAUUGGAUAAUGACUCA